rnacentral:tRNA from 1 species
AAAAAGAUAAGCUAAAAUUAAGCUAUUGGGUUCAUACCCCAACCAUAAAGGUUUUAAUCCUUUUCUUUUUA